AGGGCACCACCAGGAGUGGAGCCUGCGGCUUAAUUUGACUCAACACGGGAAAACUUACCCGGCCCGGACACUGGAAGGAUUGACAGAUUGAGAGCUCUUUCUUGAUUCAGUGGGUGGUGGUGCAUGGCCGUUCUUAGUUGGUGGAGCGAUUUGUCUGGUUAAUUCCGAUAACGAACGAGACUCUAGCCUGCUAAAUAGCUACUGAUCCGCAGCGUCGUGCCUAUAUGCUUCUUAGAGGGACGGGCGGCUUCCAGUCCAACGAAAAUGAGCAAUAACAGGGCUUGGGAUGCCCUUAAAAUGCCCGGGGGCCCCCCCCCCCCUACACUUGAAGAAACCAAGGGGGCUUUUUUCCCUGGGCCGGAAGGCCGGGGGAAACCAAAAAAACUCCCUUCCGGAUGGGGAUUGAGUUUUGUAAACUUUCCCCCUGAAAAAAAGAAAUUCCCGAAAGGGGGGGGCAUAAACCCCCGGUUGAUUACGUCCCGGCCCUUUGUAAAAAAGGGGGGGGGUUUUUUAGGUUUG
rnacentral:rRNA from 1 species